UACGGAGGUGGCAAGCGUUGUUCGGAAUUACUGGGCGUAAAGGGCGCGUAGGCGGCUUGGCAAGUCAGAUGUGAAAGCCCCGGGCUUAACUCGGGAAUUGCAUCUGAAACUGCUGAGCUUGAGUCCUGGAGGGGGCAGUGGAAUUCCCAGUGUAGCGGUGAAAUGCGUAGAUAUUGGGAGGAACACCGGCGGCGAAGGCGGCUGCCUGGACAGCGACUGACGCUGAUGCGCGAAAGCUAGGGGAGCAAAC
rnacentral:rRNA from 1 species